GCUGGGCAUAGUGGUGCAUGCCUGUAGUCCCAGCUACUCUGGAAGCUGAGGUGGGAGGAUUGCUUGAGCCCAGGAGGUUGAGUCUACAGUGAGCCAUGAUUGUGCCACUGCACGUCAGCCUGAGUAACACAGCAAGACUUGUCCCUAAAAACAAAACAAGCUGGCUUUAUGGUCAACUGGCUACUCUGGAGGCUGAGGUGAGAGAAUUACAGAAUUGCUUGAGCCUAGGAGUUCAAAGAUGCAGUGCACCAUGUUUGCACUUGUAAAUAGCUACUGCAUUCCAGCCUGGGCAUUAUAGCAAGACCCCAUCUCU
rnacentral:sRNA from 1 species